AACGAACGCUGGCGGCAGGCUUAACACAUGCAAGUCGAACGGGUGUAGCAAUACAUCAGUGGCAGACGGGUGAGUAACACGUGGGAACCUUCCUAGGGGUACGGAACAACUCAGGGAAACUUGAGCUAAUACCGUAUACGUCCGUGAGGAGAAAGAUUUAUCGCCCUUAGACGGGCCCGCGUCGGAUUAGCUAGUUGGUGGGGUAACGGCCUACCAAGGCGACGAUCCGUAGCUGAUCUUAGAGGAUGAUCAGCCACACUGGGACUGAGGCACGGCCCAGACUCCUACGGGAGGCAGCAGUGGGGAAUCGUGGACGAUGGGCGCAAGCCUGAUCCAGCCAUGCCGCGUGAGUGAAGAAGGUCUUCGGAUUGUAAAGCUCUUUUGCCAGGGACGAUAAUGACGGUACCUGGAGAAUAAGCCCCGGCAAACUUCGUGCCAGCCGCCGCCGUAACAC
rnacentral:rRNA from 1 species